AUUGAACGCUGGCGGCAUGCCUUACACAUGCAAGUCGAACGGCAGCACGGGAGCAAUCCUGGUGGCGAGUGGCGAACGGGUGAGUAAAGUAUCGGAACGUGCCCAGUCGUGGGGGAUAACGUAGCGAAAGUUACGCUAAUACCGCAUACGAUCUAUGGAUGAAAGCGGGGGAUCGCAAGACCUCGCGCGAUUGGAGAGGCCGAUAUCAGAUUAGGUGGUUGGUGGGGUAAAGGCUCACCAAGCCGACGAUCUGUAGCUGGUCUGAGAGGACGACCAGCCACACUGGGACUGAGACACGGCCCAGACUCCUACGGGAGGCAGCAGUGGGGAAUUUUGGACAAUGGGCGAAAGCCUGAUCCAGCCAUGCCGCGUGCAGGAUGAAGGCCUUCGGGUUGUAAACUGCUUUUGUACGGAACGAAAAGGUUUGGCCUAAUAAGCUGAGCUCAUGACGGUACCGUAAGAAUAAGCACCGGCUAACUACGUGCCAGCCGCCGCGGUAA
rnacentral:rRNA from 1 species